rnacentral:rRNA from 1 species
AGGGUUUGAUCAUGGCUCAGAUUGAACGCUGGCGGCAUGCCUAACACAUGCAAGUCGAACGGCAGCGCGGGUGGCAACACCUGGCGGCGAGUGGCGGACGGGUGAGUAACGCGUGGGAAUCUGCCCUGUAGUGGGGGACAACCUGGGGAAACCCAGGCUAAUACCGCAUACGCUCUACGGAGGAAAACGGGGGAUCUUCGGACCUCGUGCUAUAGGAUGAGCCCACGUUAGAUUAGCUAGUUGGUAGGGUAAUGGCCUACCAAGGCGACGAUCUAUAGCUGGUCUGAGAGGACGACCAGCCACACUGGGACUGAGACACGGCCCAGACUCCUACGGGAGGCAGCAGUGGGGAAUAUUGGACAAUGGGGGAAACCCUGAUCCAGCGAUGCCGCGUGUGUGAAGAAGGCCUGCGGGUUGUAAAGCACUUUCAGUGGGGACGAUGGGCAGAACGGCUAAUACCCGUUUUGUUUGACUUAACCCAAAGAAGAAGCACCGGCUAAUUCCGUGCCAGCAGCCGCGGUAAUACGGAAGGUGCGAGCGUUAAUCGGAAUUACUGGGCGUAAAGCGCACGUAGGUGGUUUUAUAAGUCGGAUGUGAAAGCCCCGGGCUUAACUUGGGAAUUGCAUCUGAUACUGUAUGACUCGAGUAUGCUAGAGGGAAGUGGAAUUCCAGGUGUAGCGGUGAAAUGCGUAGAUAUCUGGAGGAACACCAAUGGCGAAGGCAACUUCCUGGGGCAAUACUGACACUGAUGUGCGAAAGCGUGGGGAGCAAACAGGAUUAGAUACCCUGGUAGUCCACGCCGUAAACGAUGAGAACUAGUCGUCGGGAGGGUCAGCCAUCCGGUGACGUAGCUAACGCGUUAAGUUCUCCGCCUGGGGAGUACGGCCGCAAGGUUGAAACUCAAGUAAUUGACGGGGGCCCGCACAAGCGGUG